AACAACUAAUUAUAUAUGGGCAUUCAUCUUGUUCUUAAAUCAUUCAACAUAUAAGCAAGCACACGAGUAAGAAUAGCUUUAAAUAGAUAUUUUUCUGUUCGAAAGCAGCAAUUACAGGAAAAUCCAACGCUGAAACUAGAAGAUGAACCAGAAUAAUCAGCAGGAAUCCGUAGAUCAAAGCUCGAAUAUGUGGUUGUAAACCUCUCAAAUGGGAACCAAAUCUCAUGCGAAACCAAUUUUUGUUUUAUUUGCUUUUCUUGAAAUCCAACUUAAGAUAUAUUAUAUUUGAUUUCUCAGAUCUGGCUAAUUAAAGAUGGAACUAAAAAUGAAAUAUUUUUUAUCCAGUAGAACUAUGAUGAAAAUAAAUUGCAAAAUCUUUUUUGGGACAUUUUCUUUGAUCGAACUAAAAAGAAAUCCUUUCUUUGGAACUUCUGCUUCAGGCCAACCCCUGAAAUUUUGUGAUGAAGGCCGCCUCCCCUGAAUCUGCUAAGUAUGUGUGUGUG
rnacentral:lncRNA from 1 species